GCCUGGGUAAAUCGUGUAGCUUAACUAUACGAAUUCCGGGUAGACUGCCAAACUUGAGACCGGGAGAAGCUAGAGUACUCCUUGGGUAGAGGUGAAAUUCUGUAAUCCUGGGGGGACCACCAGUGGCGAAGGCGUCUAGCUAGAACGGGUUUGACGGUGAGGAACGAAGCCCUGGGGCGCAAACCGGAUUAGAUACCCGGGUAGUCCAGGGUGUAAACGCUGCUUGCUUGAUGUUAGUUGGGCUCCGAGCCCAAUUAGUGUCGGAGAGAAGUUGUUAAGCAAGCUGCCUGGGAAGUACGAUCGCAAGAUUGAAACUUAAAGGAAUUGGCGGGGGAGCACAGCAACGGGUGGAGCGUGCGGUUUAAUUGGAUUCAACGCCGGAAAACUCACCGGAGGCGACGGUUAUAUGAAGGCCAGGUUGAUGACCUUGCCUGAUUUUCCGAGAAGUGGUGCAUGGCCGUCGUCAGUUCGUACCGUGAGGCGUUCUGUUAAGUCAGACAACGAACGAGACCCUCAUCUUUAGUUGCUACUUGUAAGUCCGCUUACUAGGCACACUAGAGAAACCGCUGGCGAUAAGUCAGAGGAAGGUGAGGGCAACGGUAGGUCAGUAUGCCCUGAAUCCUCCGGGCUACACGCGCGCUACAAAGGCUAGGACAAUGGGUUCCGACACCGAAAGGUGACGGUAAUCCCGAAACCUAGUCGUAGUUCGGAUUGAGGAUUGAAACUCAUCCUCAUGAAGCUGGAAUCCGUAGUAAUCGCAGAUCAACAUCCUGCGGUGAAUAUGCCCCUGCUCCUUG
rnacentral:rRNA from 1 species